rnacentral:pre_miRNA from 1 species
GUCAUCGGGGAAAAAGGCGUGUGUCUAUGUAUGUAUGUAUGUACAUACAUACAUAGACACACGCCUUUUUCCCCGAUGGG